CUGGGUUGUGAGCAGGUAUUGAAGGCCUCUACAGUCUCUGAAUUUAUCUGCCAUGGAGAGUUUAUUUGUCUGUUGUUUGUAGUUGCAGGUUAUUUCAUUUUGCACACGUUGAACAAGCUCUUCAUCGAUAGCAUACUGUAUUGCCGUCUGGAUGACAUCCAGCCACCAAGGAGAACUAGAAUGUAUCUUUCUCUGGAGCUCCCGAAUGGUCUGUAAAACUGGC
rnacentral:lncRNA from 1 species